rnacentral:lncRNA from 1 species
ACAGAUAUAAUUUUACCUGAUCAACCCUUGACCCUUAACCACAUUCUGUACACAUACAUAACAAAUUUCACAGAACUUAAUCACAUAAAUCCUUAAUCCUGAAUAAUUCACCUAAAUCUUUCACAGAAUUUUGAAAUCCUCAAAAUUCAAUCCUAAUAACAUCAAACGCAUACACUUAUUUUCUGUCUAGGUCUAAUAUUUGAC